AGUCUUGCUUUAAAGAUUCAAGAUCAAUGUCUCAAGCUCUUCAUCAUCCACUCCCUUCAUGGGUUAAAUUAUGCGCUCCCAAGUGCGCGUCAAGUAACAGCAGAAACAGCAGGGUGAAUAGAUGACAAGAGAGUACCAACAAAUGGAACUGAAGCUUCAUGGGUCUUAGGAUUCAAAUGUUGUGAAUCAACCACUCUGAUUGCUCCCCAAAGGCUCUGAACAGUCGGAGGGAACUCCUUGGAAUUUCGGCGCUUUUGACUCAUCGAUCGAACUCCCAGAGGCACUGCUAGUGCCACAUCUUUUAUGCUUUUUUGGUACAUUGGAGUAAAUAAUGGUGAAAUGAGCAUUAUGUCCACACUUACCUACAAAUGGUGG